rnacentral:rRNA from 1 species
AGUGAACGCUGGCGGUAGGCCUAACACAUGCAAGUCGAACGGCAGCACAGUAAGAGCUUGCUCUUACGGGUGGCGAGUGGCGGACGGGUGAGGAAUACAUCGGAAUCUACUUUUUCGUGGGGGAUAACGUAGGGAAACUUACGCUAAUACCGCAUACGACCUACGGGUGAAAGCAGGGGAUCUUCGGCCCUUGCGCGAUUGAAUGAGCCGAUGUCGGAUUAGCUAGUUGGCGGGGUAAAGGCCCACCAAGGCGACGAUCCGUAGCUGGUCUGAGAGGAUGAUCAGCCACACUGGAACUGAGACACGGUCCAGACUCCUACGGGAGGCAGCAGUGGGGAAUAUUGGACAAUGGGCGAAAGCCUGAUCCAGCCAUACCGCGUGUGUGAAGAAGGCCUUCGGGUUGUAAAGCCCUUUUGUUGGGAAAGAAAAGCAGUAGGUUAAUACCUCGCUGUUCUGACGGUACCAAAAGAAUAAGCACCGGCUAACUUCGUG